UUUGUGGAGGGUUCGAUUCUGGCUCAGGAUGAACGCUGGCGGCGUGCUUAACACAUGCAAGUCGAACGGGAUCCAGAGUGCUUGCACUCUGGUGAGAGUGGCGAACGGGUGAGUAAUGCGUGACCGACCUG
rnacentral:ncRNA from 1 species